CUGGGCAACUUUUCCUUUGCACAGGUUUUGAUAAAUCUCCCCCCAUGUACGUAAAAUGGGCCUUUUAACCUAUUUACAUCCACAUAAUUUUAUGCCUUGGUCAGAGUCCAUUUGCCUUAUCUGCCCGAGGAACCAGGAAUUGUCUGUAUAUAUUUGAAAUGUGUGAUAUCUGCCCCUAGUCUGGUGGUAUGGUGUGAUUAUCCAUCUAUGGACACAUAAUCAAAUGACGUCAACUCUGCAUUAUCCUUUGAAAACCCUUUUUAAAAAAUCCAUUGUUUGACACGUGGGCAGUGCAAGGAGAUGAAAACAUUGCAGCAAUAUAUUUUAGGGAUAUGGAUGCUAAAAUGAAGAAAAGAAGAACAUUAGUUCAGUUAUCAGAAACACCAUGAAGUAGUACAUUAAAGGUAAGCCAAACAAUGGCACCUGACCUGAACAAGUCCUCCAGAACAGCUCUUAUAACACCACAUUACAGGAACUUUUUGUUCACUAUCUACACGAUCUGUCAUUCUCCUCAACCCGUUGUGAUUUUGUAAUGAACAUUUUGUGAUUUUUUACAUAGGACUGCAGGUUUCCCGGGACGGGCAGACGGGCAGUCGAGGGGAGAGCACACUUAAGAUCUUGGUAAUUGAUUGUAACACAAUCUACAUGCAUUAGACAGAGCUCAGUUGGGCAGUGAUUUAGCGGUUAGAGGAGAUGCUUUGAACAUUAGCUGAAGCUGUAGGACCAUGUCAUUUCUAAAGUGACUGCAAAGCAUGUCUCCAUAGUAUUGUAAAUUUCAGUGGAUUUUUGAAAGGAGCGAGAGACAUGGCAUCACAGGGCAGGUGGUAAAGAGACCUUAUUAAUAAAUAUUUAAUGAAUCCUCCGCUUGUAUGGUCAGGGUCAAUGGAGAAUGUGUGCACCAGUUCAUGUUGUUAUGGCAGAAACAGGUGAUGGGAAGCAAUUGCUUCCUCAAGAGUUGGCAGAAACUUAAAUUAACCUACUGUAUUAAUACUUCUAUAAUUAUUGCUAUAUUUUAUUGGAAAAAAACUAGUAUGUAUAAAAGUAAUAAUAAAUAUUAGUAAAACCGUAGCUUAAUGGGGUUCAAUGGGAUUAGAAAAAUGGUCUUUCUGAGGGUGGCACCACUCUUGUCCAAGGAGUUUAUUCUGAUAUUGCAGUUCACCCCAUUCAAGUGAACAAAGUUGAACUGCAAUUUUAGACACAACCUAUAGAAAACCUAUGGCGCCAUUUCUAGAAGAAAAAAAGACUAACAUUUUCCUUAUACAAUCACUUCAAAUCUCAUAAUCUCUUUUAAAUUGCAGCCCUUUGUCUUCCACAAUUCUGGAUUACAAAAAUAUGAGCACAUUUCUUCCUGUAGGGCUUCUUUACUUAGAGUACUUUACUAAAUAGCCCCAAGUGUCAAGCAGAAGAGAGACUGGUCAGAGAUUCUUGUAUAAUAAUGUCUGGUGAAGAGGAAGGUGUGGGCAGAGGUGGGGUGAAAGGUUAAGUCAGCAGGGACCUUAAAAAACAAGGCAGACAAGUUGGUGUUGCAUUUGGAAGGAGACAGGAAGCUACAGAAUUCUCCAGAGACGCAAAGUUGGAGAUAUUUUAGGGGGGACACAGGCACUGUAAUACUUAGAGUACAUAGGAAAGGAAUGGCCAUAGACUACCUUCAAAUCAUUUAACAUGCCCGGAACUAAAGUGCAUAUUUUGGGAAAUGAAAGAUGAUGUGAGUGGAGAUACAAUACAUAGGUCAUAAAGAGAAUCUGGCCCACAGCAGUGUACACCUAUAGUAGGUAAUGCUUCCCCAUUUUAUUUCACAAUGCCAUAACAAUUAAAAAAAUAAUAUAUAAAAUAAAAAUAAUAAUAAUCCUCCCUGCUGGAUUACUUUGAAUCCUGCAUAUGAGAGCACCUUCUCCCCUUUCUAUUUUCAAAUUAAAUUAAUUUGGGAUUAACAGGACCUGACAGGCUGCAGAUAACCAAAUAUUCUGGAUUAUUGGACAGUGACAGAAGAAGUAUAUAAAAAGAUAUAUAUAUACAGGGGUGAGACAAUUUUUUCCAAAAUGAAAUUGCAUUUGUGUUUCUGGUGACAGCACUAUAGUUUUUGCAUGGCAUUGCU